AAUGGGCGCAAGCCUGAUCCAGCCAUGCCGCGUGAGUGAUGAAGGCCCUAGGGUCGUAAAGCUCUUUCGCCUGUGAAGAUAAUGACGGUAGCAGGUAAAGAAACCCCGGCUAACUCCGUGCCAGCAGCCGCGGUAAUACGGAGGGGGUUAGCGUUGUUCGGAAUUACUGGGCGUAAAGCGCGCGUAGGCGGAUUAGUAAGUCAGAGGUGAAAUCCCGGGGCUCAACCCCGGAACUGCCUUUGAUACUGCUAGUCUUGAGUUCGAGAGAGGUAAGUGGAAUUCCGAGUGUAGAGGUGAAAUUCGUAGAUAUUCGGAGGAACACCAGUGGCGAAGGCGGCUUACUGGCUCGAUACUGACGCUGAGGUGCGAAAGUGUGGGGAGCAAACAGGAUU
rnacentral:rRNA from 1 species